AACGGUCUAUACCUGCGGUACCUGCGGAGGGAUCAUUACCAAUUUUUAUAUGUUAGUUUUUGCCUGUAAAGGUAUUAAACUAUCUACUGUAAACGUUGAACUAGAUCAUUGGUUGUGGAUUGCUUGGGAAUGGACGAAGCGACAAGCCUCUUCCGGACAGGCAAACCCCACACCGAUAACCUUUUCAUAUAUUACAACUAGUACAUACUACAAACACACAACAAACAAACAAUCAAUAGG
rnacentral:misc_RNA from 1 species